AGCAGGCCAUCAAGGUAGAGCCAUCCAGUUGAAACGGACGGUCAACAGACCAUCAAGGAGGAGAAGUGGCAAUCCGGUGUGGGAAGUAGAGAUAAACAGUAGGGAUCGAUCAAGAGGGGGGGCCAAUUUUACUUCAUGGUGCUUUAUCCAGUGUACAGGUGUCAGCAGGCCAUCAAGGUAGAGCCAUCCAGUUGAAACGGACGGUCAACAGACCAUCAAGGAGGAGAAGUGGCAAUCCGGUGUGGGAAGUAGAGAU